CCCUGCCAUUUGUACACACCGCCCGUCGCUACUACCGAUUGAAUGGCUCAGUGAGGCCUCCGGACUGGCUCGAAGAGGUUGGCAACGACCACUUCGAGCCGGAAAGCUGGUCAAACUCGGUCAUUUAGAGGAAGUAAAAGUCGUAACAAGGUU
rnacentral:rRNA from 1 species